ACUCAAUAGAUACCCUGGUAGUCCACGCUGUAAGCGAUGAUCACUCGCUGUUUGCGAUACACAGUAAAGCGGCUAAGCGAAAGCGUUAAGUGAUCCACCUGGGGAGUACGAUCGCAAGGUUGAAACUCAAAGGAAUUGACGGGGGCCCGCACAAGCGGAGGAAACAUGUGGUUUAAUUCGAUGAUACGCGAGGAACCUUACCUGGGCUUAAAUGGGGAGUGACAGCUGCUGAAAGGUGGUUUUCUUCGGACACUCUCCAAGGUGCUGCAUGGUUGUCGUCAGCUCGUGCCGUGAGGUGUCGGGUUAAGUCCCAUAACGAGCGCAACCCUUACUGUUAGUUGCCAGCGGGUAAUGCCGGGGACACUAGCGGGACUGCCACCGUAAGGUGAGAGGAAGGUGGGGAUGACGUCAAAUCAGCACGGCCCUUAUGUCCAGGGCUACACACGUGUUACAAUGGCCGGUACAAAGGGCAGCUACACCGCGAGGUGAUGCUAAUCUCCAAAGCCGGUCCCAGUUCGGAUCGAAGUCUGCAACCCGAC
rnacentral:rRNA from 1 species